rnacentral:misc_RNA from 1 species
UCUCCGUAGGUGAACCUGCGGAAGGAUCAUUAAAGAAUUGCCCCGUCUUCUCGAAGGUGGGUUCUAUUCCAAACCGUGUUUACAUACCUUUGUUGCUUUGGCGGGCCGCCGCUUCGGCGUUGGCUCCGGCUGACUGCGCCCGCCAGAGGACCACAACUCUUUUGUUUAGUAAUGUCUGAGUACUAUAUAAUAGUUAAAACUUUCAACAACGGAUCUCUUGGUUCUG